AACGAACGCUGGCGGCAUGCCUAACACAUGCAAGUCGAACGAGACCUUCGGGUCUAGUGGCGCACGGGUGCGUAACGCGUGGGAACCUGCCCUUAGGUUCGGAAUAACUCCCCGAAAGGGGUGCUAAUACCGGAUAAUGUCUUCGGACCAAAGAUUUAUCGCCUUUGGAUGGGCCCGCGUUGGAUUAGCUAGUUGGUAGGGUAAAAGCCUACCAAGGCGACGAUCCAUAGCUGGUCUGAGAGGAUGAUCAGCCACACUGGGACUGAGACACGGCUCAGACUCCUACGGGAGGCAGGAGUGGGGAAUAUUGGACAAUGGGCGAAAGCAUGAUCCAGCAAUGCCGCGUGAGUGAUGAAGGCCUUAGGGUUGUAAAGCUCUUUUACCCGGGAUGAUAAUGACAGUACCGGGAGAAUAAGCUCCGGCUAACUCCGUG
rnacentral:rRNA from 1 species